rnacentral:lncRNA from 1 species
GAAAAUCUACUAUAAAUCUUAAAAGAAUCUUUAAAUAAUCCUAAAAAAAUAUUAAAAUAAUCAUAAAUAUAUCUUUAAUAAAUUUCAAUCAAGUAUUAAUUUAAUCCUAGUUAAAAUCCUAAUAGACUUCAAUCAAAUUUUAGACCAUAUUCCAAAUCCUAAGCAAAUCUUAAACCUUAAAUUAUAAGCAAAUUCUAAAUUCUAAAUCCUAAAAAAACCUUAAAUCCUAAAUUCUAAGAAAAUCUUAAACAAAUUCUAAACCCUAAUCAAAUUCUAAACUCUAAUCCAAUUGUAAUCCUUAAUCCAAUUAUAA